AGUCGAACGGUAGCACAGAGAGCUUGCUCUCGGGUGACGAGUGGCGGACGGGUGAGUAAUGUCUGGGAAACUGCCCGAUGGAGGGGGAUAACUACUGGAAACGGUAGCUAAUACCGCAUAACGUCGCAAGACCAAAGAGGGGGACCUUCGGGCCUCUUGCCAUCGGAUGUGCCCAGAUGGGAUUAGCUUGUAGGUGAGGUAACGGCUCACCUAGGCGACGAUCCCUAGCUGGUCUGAGAGGAUGACCAGCCACACUGGAACUGAGACACGGUCCAGACUCCUACGGGAGGCAGCAGUGGGGAAUAUUGCACAAUGGGCGCAAGCCUGAUGCAGCCAUGCCGCGUGUAUGAAGAAGGCCUUCGGGUUGUAAAGUACUUUCAGCGGGGAGGAAGGGAGUGAGGUUAAUAACCUUAUUCAUUGACGUUACCCGCAGAAGAAGCACCGGCUAACUCCGUGCCAGCAGCCGCGGUAAUACGGAGGGUGCAAGCGUUAAUCGGAAUUACUGGGCGUAAAGCGCACGCAGGCGGUCUGUCAAGUCGGAUGUGAAAUCCCCGGGCUCAACCUGGGAACUGCAUUCGAAACUGGCAGGCUGGAGUCUUGUAGAGGGGGGUAGAAUUCCAGGUGUAGCGGUGAAAUGCGUAGAGAUCUGGAGGAAUACCGGUGGCGAAGGCGGCCCCCUGGACAAAGACUGACGCUC
rnacentral:rRNA from 1 species